CCUACGGGAGGCAGCAGUGGGGAAUAUUGCACAAUGGGGGAAACCCUGAUGCAGCCAUGCCGCGUGUGUGAAGAAGGCCUUCGGGUUGUAAAGCACUUUCAGUGGUGAGGAAGGGUUGUAAGUUAAUACCUUGCAACAUUGACGUUAGCCACAGAAGAAGCACCGGCUAACUCCGUGCCAGCAGCCGCGGUAAU
rnacentral:rRNA from 1 species